CUUGAAAAGUUCAUUGGCCCCGACGUGUCGGCUCCUAAUGCUAGGUUUGGAUGAGAAAGGAUUUCGUUAAAAAGAGAUGCUAGAAAGUUAACUUAGCUCAUGUUAGUUGUUUUAGUGUUCCCUUGCUAGGAAUAAUCUACUAUGUGUUACUCGCGAAUGGAGUCAUGGACAUUGAGAGGGGACCUGUUUUUCCUAUUGGUCACCCUAGUGAAUAAAAGAUCU
rnacentral:lncRNA from 1 species